UACGGGGGGGGUAAGCGUUGUUCGGAAUUACUGGGCGUAAAGGGCUCGUAGGCGGCCAACUAAGUCAGACGUGAAAUCCCUCAGCUUAACUGGGGAACUGCGUCUGAUACUGGAUGGCUUGGAUUCGGGAGAGGAAUGCGGAAUUCCAGGUGUAGCGGUGAGAUGCGUAGAUAUCUGGAGGAACACCGGUGGCGAAGGCGGCAUUCUGGACCGACAUUGACGCUGAGGAGCGAAAGCCAGGGGAGCAAACGGG
rnacentral:rRNA from 1 species